GACUUGCCUCAUUUGUCUGUCCUAACAGGCUCUCUUUGGAGAAGGAAAUGGGGGAACCAAGACCAGCCAUUCUGAAACUGCCCUUUCAAGAUUCAAAGCUUCAUGCUUCACCACUUUGUAGGAGAUGAAGUGAGAAAUGCAAACAUCCUGAAGACAGCAAAAUCUGUAGGGGUCUUCCAGGAAGAGAGGCAUGAGAAAAAGCUACUGAGUUGAAUCUGGAAGAUGACUCAAGCUUCCUCAAAGCAGAACAGCUCCCCUUGUGCUGCUUUUCUCAAGUUAUACUUAAAAUGACCCAUAAGCAGGGUGAGACUGGAUGAACAUCUCUUUCUUCCACAGCCCUGUGAAUUUUUAAUGCCUGGCAUUAAGGUGAAAAUCAUCAUUUCUCUCUGCCUGCUGGGCGAUGGGCCAUCAAUUAAAUUCUCUUUUGUCCAUAUGUAAAAUAGCUAAUGGUUGCAGCUUCUUUCCAUAAUAGAGCCAUUAGUGGUAAUCUGCUCCUCUCUGCCAACACAUUUACUCAGAUGGGUAUAGAUGAAUUGGCAGUAAUGUCCUGUAUAAACCUGUCUCUGUAGAUGUCCUGAAAACAGCAAAGGUCUCUCAAUUUGAUACUUUGCUGCACUGUAUGGCCGUUGAUAUGUAACAUAAUCAUAUACUGGUGUGGCUGUGGUUGAAUAUUUUGAAUGUGGUUGUGCAUUCCAAGAUUUUAGUUUACACAAAUCUGCUUCAUGAUCUGACAUCAUGUACAUAUGAAAUAUCUUCAAUUUGGUAAUGUGAAUCUGAUUCACAUUGAUUAUAUUCAGUGCUGAUGUUCAAAGCCUUAAAUUAUCUUCAUUGUUUGCUAGCCUACAAAUACAGCAGAUAAUUGUUAGGGAAUUUAAAACCCUUUGAAUAUAUGCCCAUUUGACUGUGGAACAAUUAAUACUUUAUAUUUUAUUUAAAAGUUUUCCUCUCUAAAGAACUCAACCUUUUUUUGGGAGGUGGGGAACAUGGCAGGGGAGACAUUGUGCUCCAUGGUAAUGGUAAAGGAAGAAAGGAAAGCAAAUUAGGGAUAUCUUGUUAACAGUGAUAAAUGUUUCAGUUGUGCACUUACCCACGUCGGUGUGCAAUGGCUGAAUAAUCAGUAAGAUAAACCAUCAUUUUCUUUGUAUUUCCUGUUUGACAAGUUUAAUAAGCUAAGUCACUUAUUUGGUAAAAAAUGGCAAUGAUCCAGGGGAAUGUGUUUUUAUUUUUUUAUUUUCACUGGGGGUCGAAAGCCAAUAAUGUAUAUGCUGCUGCUACGAAAUUUAUCAUCACUUGAGCCUAUGGGAAGACUACAGCAAUAUGGAGAAACUCUGCAAUGGUUAGGAAAGCUGGAGAGAGCAUUUAUAAGUGAAGUUGCCAAAAGAAUUGUAGAAUCAUAUUGCAGAAUCGUAGAAUGGCUUGGUUUGGAAGGGACCGUAAAGAUCAUCUAGUUACAAUUCCUGUGAUGUAGGAAGGGACAUCUUCCACUAGCCCAGGUUGCUCAGAGCCCCAUCCAACAUGGUCUUGAAGCCUUUCAGGGUUGCACUUUUUUUGGUGCAAUGCAGGAUGCAGUUGGAUUUUAGGGAUGCAAAUGCAUGUGGCUGGCUCAUGUCCAGCCUCUCAUCCACCAGUACCAUCCCCAGCCUGCUUUGGUGCCAGGGAUGGCCCUAACCAGGCGCAGCACCUUGCUGGAGGUCUCAUUAAACCUCAUGCUUCCCAUUUCUCCAGCUUGUUCAAGUCCCUCUACAUGGCAUCCUGUCUUUCAGUUUGUGUUGGCCACACACUGAAUUUGGCAUAAUCUGCAAAUUUGCUGAGGGUGCACUUGAUCCCUUAAUCUCUGUCAUUAAUGAGGAUAUUAAAUAAUAAUGGUCUCAAUUUGGCCCUCUGAGGUACAUCACUUGUCACUGAUGUCCAUCGGGAAUCUGAGCCAUGGACCACUAUCCACUGGGUGUGAUCAUCCAACCUGUUUCUUAUCCAUCUAACAGCCCACCAUCAAAUCUCUCUCCCUCCAAUUUAGAGAGAAAGAUGCUGGGGGUGGAUUGUGUCAGAGGCCUUACAAAAGUCCAGAUAAAUAGCAUCUGUAGUCCUUUCCUUGCCCACUGAUGCAGUCACUUUUAAAAAGGACUUUAAAAACAGGAGACACACUUUUCUUGAACCACUGAACUGUUCAAAAAUUAAAAUAUAUGAUCUAUUAAGAAAGCACUUCUGGCCUGAAAGUAAUUCACCUAAAGGCCAGUGUUUACUCCAGGAUAUAAAUGAAGUAUUUGAGGCUGUUCUCCUUUUCAACAAUAUGGGGGAGAAAUGUAAAAAAUGGGCAGAAGUGAUACUGGGGAGAUGUUUCAAAAGCUAUUGUCAGUAGUCCCACCCUACUCUCAUUUAAGUCUAAAGCAGAAUCCCAAGGAGUUAUUACCAAAAUGAAGUUAGACCAAUACUGAAUGCUCUUGAAAUUUCCAUAGUCCUUUAUGUUUGUGUGCAAGAAUUUACCUUAACAUUAUAUAUGCAUACAUAGCAAUUAAUGUGUCUGUGUCCAAUAAAGAGAUAUACACUUUCUUGCUCUCUGCUUGCUUUUCAUCUGGCACUCUCUCUGCAGAUUGUUUCCAAUAUGGGUCAUUUCUGUCCUUCUGCCAGUUUUCCAGUCCAGCGUGAUCCAAAUUAAAUAAUCUUCUAUUCUGCCUUUCCUGAUGAAUGUCAGAUUAAUCUUAGCAGAAUGUGUGACUUUGCCUGACAAGAUGAUUACUGCAAUAUUUAAACAACCCUUAGGGCCUAAAUUCACUAACAAUUUAUGGUUCUCCCUAUACAUGAGUGCUGUUUCUCUCUUCUCAAUGCCCAGGUGCACCCUGCCCUGAGCUGCAUUGUCAACUGGAACUUGGUGACAUGCACUCGCUCUCCUUUGCUGCACAACAGAGUGCUUUAAGUAGAAUCUGAGAAGGGAGGUAAAGUGCUCCCCCUCCCUGCUCCCCAAUUCCCAAGAAGGAAUUCCAUCCCAAAGAAAAAGAGAAAAAUGCCGAUGGUAGUCAGUGGGAACCAGGUACGGGAGAUCCUCUUUCACUUGUGUUCGAGUAGAGCAGCCACGAUCUGUGUUCUGGUGACUGUCCCCACCAGUCACUUGGAUCAAGAGGGGUGCACAGCCUCUGCUCACUUCUGGAGCCGGCUGUGAGUGUGGGCUCAGAAGUUGCUGGCGCCAGCCAAGGAAAAUCCUCGCUGGAAAGCCCAGUCCGCAGUGCAGACACCAGACAAAGCGGCCAGAAUAGAAUCUGAGAAGUUUAAAAGGAAUUUAAGAAUGAAGCCAACAAUUAAUGAGGCUUGGGAAGAAACUUCCCCUAAGGCCCUGUUAUUGAAUAGCUGCUGGCUGUAGGAUUUUUUUGUUCUCUUUUAGAGCAGCUGGUACUGGCCAUUGCUGGAGAUGGAAAAGCUGACAGUGUUAGACAUGCCAAUGGCAGUCCCCAGGCUUAUUCUAAUAGAGUACAGAUUCUUAGAUAAGGAUGUAGCCUGAUGAGGACAUCUUUACAAUGUAUGAGUGAAGGAGGUAUCCCACCUUCCCUCUCAGAUUUUGUGUCCAGCCUGCGUCACAUUUGUGUCCCAGGAUACAGGGUUAUAUUUCACUUGCACAUUGUACUUUUAACUGACUAAUGUCUGUAGCAUAAAGCAACUGGUAGUGUUUAGUGGCUCUCUGCACCAGUAGCUCCUUCUUGAGGGACUGAAAUUGAUGUAAUUUAUCAUGGCAGGUGAACAUGCAAGCUGUGCCUCUUGCCCCAUCACACAAUGUAGCAGAAGAAGCAACCAACGAGUCAGAAAUAGCUCUAUUCCUUUUUUUUUUUUUCUCCAGCUUCCUGAAACAGCAACACUGUGUGUCUGCAUGGUUGGAAUAUCUAGGUACAGUAUCUUCUCUUAAUGGAGCUGUGUACCACCACACACUGUCAGAAGCUGUUGGGGUUUUAUUACUGAGCUAUUCACCAUGCAUCUAUUUUGCCAGAAGGGGUAAUGAAGACUGCAUUUUGUUUUGUGACAUUUUUUCCAAUUGAAAAUAUUUCUUUCUCUGCAUUUAUACUUUGUCUUGAUGUUUUUGUACUGUCAUUUAAUGCUGAAAUACCCUUUUAUCUGUUUUUUAAUAAUAUCCCAAGCAAAUGGAUAGGACUGUCAUUGCCUGGAUCAGUAUGUUUUUUCCCUCUUCACUUGCUGUUCCCUAACCAGUCUGUAUUACCCUGGCUUGAUAGAUUCAUUAAAAAUCAUAGCUUCAGGCCCUUU